UGGAAAUACGAGAUGGUUGACAACGUUCCCUCUUCUGCUGCAGCUCCUUCAGCACACAAUCAGCAGGUCAUUAGCGUAUCGUUCAAAUCGCCCCGAACUCAGGAUGGAACCCCAGGGACCUGAAGGCAGAAUAGACUGAAGAGAAGAUGUGGUGUUGCUGACAGUUACCUCUGAUGGCAGUUAAAAAGGCUUCUUAAAGAAACAAGGAUAUCCUUCUAGAACAAUGGUCACACAAAAAAGCAAAAUGAGGAAAGUCAAGGAC